rnacentral:rRNA from 1 species
UACGUAGGGGGCUAGCGUUAUCCGGAAUUACUGGGCGUAAAGGGUGCGUAGGUGGUUUCUUAAGUCAGAGGUGAAAGGCUACGGCUCAACCGUAGUAAGCCUUUGAAACUGGGAAACUUGAGUGCAGGAGAGGAGAGUGGAAUUCCUAGUGUAGCGGUGAAAUGCGUAGAUAUUAGGAGGAACACCAGUUGCGAAGGCGGCUCUCUGGACUGUAACUGACACUGAGGCACGAAAGCGUUGGGAGCAAACAGGAUUAGAUACCCCUGUAGUCCCUGAG